GUCUGGAAAGGCGCGCGAUACAGGGUGACAGCCCCGUACACAAAAGCGCAUGUGCUGUGAGCUCGAUGAGUAGGGCGGGACACGUGGUAUCCUGUCUGAAUAUGGGGGGACCAUCCUCCAAGGCUAAAUACUCCUGACUGACCGAUAGUGAACCAGUACCGUGAGGGAAAGGCGAAAAGAACCCCGGCGAGGGGAGUGAAAAAGAACCUGAAACCGUGUACGUACAAGCAGUGGGAGCACAGGUUUACCUGUGUGACUGCGUACCUUUUGUAUAAUGGGUCAGCGACUUAUAUUCUGUAGCAAGGUUAACCGUAUAGGGGAGCCGGAGGGAAACCGAGUCUUAACCGGGCGUUAAGUUGCAGGGUAUAGACCCGAAACCCGGUGAUCUAGCCAUGGGCAGGUUGAAGGUUGGGUAACACUAACUGGAGGACCGAACCGACUAAUGUUGAAAAAUUAGCGGAUGACCUGUGGCUGGGGGUGAAAGGCCAAUCAAACCGGGAGAUAGCUGGUUCUCCCCGAAAGCUAUUUAGGUAGCGCCUCGUGAAUUCAUCUCCGGGGGUAGAGCACUGUUUCGGCUAGGGGGCCAUCCCGGCUUACCAACCCGAUGCAAACUGCGAAUACCGGAGAAUGUUAUCACGGGAGACACACGGCGGGUGCUAACGUCCGUCGUGAAGAGGGAAACAACCCAGACCGCCAGCUAAGGUCCCAAAGUCAUGGUUAAGUGGGAAACGAUGUGGGAAGGCCCAGACAGCCAGGAUGUUGGCUUAGAAGCAGCCAUCAUUUAAAGAAAGCGUAAUAGCUCACUGGUCGAGUCGGCCUGCGCGGAAGAUGUAACGGGGCUAAACCAUGCACCGAAGCUGCGGCAGCGACACUCAGGUGUUGUUGGGUAGGGGAGCGUUCUGUAAGCCUGUGAAGGUGGCCUGUGAGGGUUGCUGGAGGUAUCAGAAGUGCGAAUGCUGACAUAAGUAACGAUAAAGCGGGUGAAAAGCCCGCUCGCCGGAAGACCAAGGGUUCCUGUCCAACGUUAAUCGGGGCAGGGUGAGUCGACCCCUAAGGCGAGGCCGAAAGGCGUAGUCGAUGGGAAACGGGUUAAUAUUCCCGUACUUGGUGUUACUGCGAAGGGGGGACGGAGAAGGCUAUGUUGGCCGGGCGACGGUUGUCCCGGUUUAAGCGUGUAGGUGUGUGUUCCAGGUAAAUCCGGUUCACUUUAACACUGAGGCGUGACGACGAGGCACUACGGUGCUGAAGCAACAAAUGCCCUGCUUCCAGGAAAAGCCUCUAAGCAUCAGGUAACAUCAAAUCGUACCCCAAACCGACACAGGUGGUCAGGUAGAGAAUACCAAGGCGCUUGAGAGAACUCGGGUGAAGGAACUAGGCAAAAUGGUGCCGUAACUUCGGGAGAAGGCACGCUGACACGUAGGUGAAGUGAUUUACUCAUGGAGCUGAAGUCAGUCGAAGAUACCAGCUGGCUGCAACUGUUUAUUAAAAACACAGCACUGUGCAAACACGAAAGUGGACGUAUACGGUGUGACGCCUGCCCGGUGCCGGAAGGUUAAUUGAUGGGGUCAGCGCAAGCGAAGCUCCUGAUCGAAGCCCCGGUAAACGGCGGCCGUAACUAUAACGGUCCUAAGGUAGCGAAAUUCCUUGUCGGGUAAGUUCCGACCUGCACGAAUGGCGUAAUGAUGGCCAGGCUGUCUCCACCCGAGACUCAGUGAAAUUGAACUCGCUGUGAAGAUGCAGUGUACCCGCGGCAAGACGGAAAGACCCCGUGAACCUUUACUAUAGCUUGACACUGAACAUUGAGCCUUGAUGUGUAGGAUAGGUGGGAGGCUUUGAAGUGUGGACGCCAGUCUGCAUGGAGCCGACCUUGAAAUACCACCCUUUAAUGUUUGAUGUUCUAACGUGGACCCGUUACCCGGGUUGCGGACAGUGUCUGGUGGGUAGUUUGACUGGGGCGGUCUCCUCCUAAAGAGUAACGGAGGAGCACGAAGGUUGGCUAAUCCUGGUCGGACAUCAGGAGGUUAGUGCAAUGGCAUAAGCCAGCUUGACUGCGAGCGUGACGGCGCGAGCAGGUGCGAAAGCAGGUCAUAGUGAUCCGGUGGUUCUGAAUGGAAGGGCCAUCGCUCAACGGAUAAAAGGUACUCCGGGGAUAACAGGCUGAUACCGCCCAAGAGUUCAUAUCGACGGCGGUGUUUGGCACCUCGAUGUCGGCUCAUCACAUCCUGGGGCUGAAGUAGGUCCCAAGGGUAUGGCUGUUCGCCAUUUAAAGUGGUACGCGAGCUGGGUUUAGAACGUCGUGAGACAGUUCGGUCCCUAUCUGCCGUGGGCGCUGGAGAACUGAGGGGGGCUGCUCCUAGUACGAGAGGACCGGAGUGGACGCAUCACUGGUGUUCGGGUUGUCAUGCCAAUGGCACUGCCCGGUAGCUAAAUGCGGAAGAGAUAAGUGCUGAAAGCAUCUAAGCACGAAACUUGCCCCGAGAUGAGUUCUCCCUGAGACUUUAGGUCUCCUGAAGGAACGUUGAAGACGACGACGUUGAUAGGCCGGGUGUGUAAGCGCAGCGAUGCGUUGAGCUAACCGGUACUAAUGAACCGUGAGGCUUAACCUUACAACGCCG
rnacentral:rRNA from 1 species